rnacentral:lncRNA from 1 species
CUAGGGGCAGGGACAACCUCUCUGUUUUUGAUUCUCACUGCCUAGGUCACGGGGGCCACUUAUCAAAUGCUGGAUAGGUGAAUACAUGAUAUAUGCAUCUCAUACAUGAACAGAUACAGUUCAGCGUUUGGGAAGAGAUGGGAGAAUGGGGAUAGGAAACAUGAUGACCCCAGUGACACAGGGCAAGAAAGGAAGCCCACGAAGGCAUGGAGUCCAG